GAUGUUUGCAAAUGUUGUAUUUUCCCUUUAAGUGAAAUGCUUAGAACUGCUUUUGAGUUAAAUUCAGUUUUUAUUGCAGUUCCAGUAACACACGAAGUAAAGGUUAAGCGGUUUUGUGUCGGGGAACAAGGAAUGUAGUCUACAACCUCAC